rnacentral:rRNA from 1 species
UAGGGAAUCUUCGGCAAUGGGGGCAACCCUGACCGAGCAACGCCGCGUGAGUGAAGAAGGUUUUCGGAUCGUAAAGCUCUGUUGUAAGUCAAGAACGAGUGUGAGAGUGGAAAGUUCACACUGUGACGGUAGCUUACCAGAAAGGGACGGCUAACUACGUGCCAGCAGCCGCGGUAAUACGUAGGUCCCGAGCGUUGUCCGGAUUUAUUGGGCGUAAAGCGAGCGCAGGCGGUUUGAUAAGUCUGAAGUUAAAGGCUGUGGCUCAACCAUAGUUCGCUUUGGAAACUGUCAAACUUGAGUGCAGAAGGGGAGAGUGGAAUUCCAUGUGUAGCGGUGAAAUGCGUAGAUAUAUGGAGGAACACCGGUGGCGAAAGCGGCUCUCUGGUCUGUAACUGACGCUGAGGCUCGAAAGCGUGGGGAACGAACAGGAUUAGAUACCCUGGUAGUCCACGCCGUAAACGAUGAGUGCUAGGUGUUGGAUCCUUUCCGGGAUUCAGUGCCGCAGCUAACGCAUUAAGCACUCCGCCUGGGGAGUACGACCGCAAGGUUG